GAUGAACGCUGGCGGCGCGCCUAACACAUGCAAGUCGAACGGACGAUGAAAAGCUUGCUUUUCAAAGUUAGUGGCGGACGGGUGAGUAACGCGUGGGUAACCUGCCUCAUACAGGGGAAUAGCAGCUGGAAACGGCUGAUAAAACCGCAUAAGCGCACAGUGCCGCAUGGCACAGUGUGAAAAACUCCGGUGGUAUGAGAUGGACCCGCGUCUGAUUAGCUUGUUGGCGGGGUAACGGCCCACCAAGGCGACGAUCAGUAGCCGGCCUGAGAGGGUGAUCGGCCACAUUGGGACUGAGACACGGCCCAAACUCCUACGGGAGGCAGCAGUGGGGAAUAUUGCACAAUGGGGGAAACCCUGAUGCAGCGACGCCGCGUGAAGGAAGAAGUAUCUCGGUAUGUAAACUUCUAUCAGCAGGGAAGAUAAUGACGGUACCUGACUAAGAAGCCCCGGCUAACUACGUGCCAGCAGCCGCGGUAAUACGUAGGGGGCAAGCGUUAUCCGGAUUUACUGGGUGUAAAGGGAGCGUAGGCGGCGGAGCAAGUCAGAAGUGAAAGCCCGGGGCUCAACCCCGGGACGGCUUUUGAAACUGCCCUGCUUGAUUUCAGGAGAGGUAAGCGGAAUUCCUAGUGUAGCGGUGAAAUGCGUAGAUAUUAGGAGGAACACCAGUGGCGAAGGC
rnacentral:rRNA from 1 species